UGCAAGUCGAGCGGACAGAUGGGAGCUUGCUCCCUGAUGUUAGCGGCGGACGGGUGAGUAACACGUGGGUAACCUGCCUGUAAGACUGGGAUAACUCCGGGAAACCGGGGCUAAUACCGGAUGCUUGUUUGAACCGCAUGGUUCAAACAUAAAAGGUGGCUUCGGCUACCACUUACAGAUGGACCCGCGGCGCAUUAGCUAGUUGGUGAGGUAAUGGCUCACCAAGGCAACGAUGCGUAGCCGACCUGAGAGGGUGAUCGGCCACACUGGGACUGAGACACGGCCCAGACUCCUACGGGAGGCAGCAGUAGGGAAUCUUCCGCAAUGGACGAAAGUCUGACGGAGCAACGCCGCGUGAGUGAUGAAGGUUUUCGGAUCGUAAAGCUCUGUUGUUAGGGAAGAACAAGUACCGUUCGAAUAGGGCGGUACCUUGACGGUACCUAACCAGAAAGCCACGGCUAACUACGUGCCAGCAGCCGCGGUAAUACGUAGGUGGCAAGCGUUGUCCGGAAUUAUUGGGCGUAAAGGGCUCGCAGGCGGUUCCUUAAGUCUGAUGUGAAAGCCCCCGGCUCAACCGGGGAGGGUCAUUGGAAACUGGGGAACUUGAGUGCAGAAGAGGAGAGUGGAAUUCCACGUGUAGCGGUGAAAUGCGUAGAGAUGUGGAGGAACACCAGUGGCGAAGGCGACUCUCUGGUCUGUAACUGACGCUGAGGAGCGAAAGCGUGGGGAGCGAACAGGAUUAGAUACCCUGGUAGUCCACGCCGUAAACGAUGAGUGCUAAGUGUUA
rnacentral:rRNA from 2 species